UACGUAGGGUGCAAGCGUUGUCCGGAAUUAUUGGGCGUAAAGAGCUCGUAGGCGGUCUGUCGCGUCGAAUGUGAAAACCCGGGGCUCAACCCCGGGCCUGCAUUCGAUACGGGCAGACUAGAGUUCGGUAGGGGAGUCUGGAAUUCCUGGUGUAGCGGUGAAAUGCGCAGAUAUCUGGAGGAACACCGGUGGCGAAGGCGGCAUCCUGGACCAAUACUGACGCUGAGGAGCGAAAGCCAGGGGAGCAAACGGG
rnacentral:rRNA from 1 species